rnacentral:rRNA from 1 species
UACGAAGGGGGCUAGCGUUGUUCGGAAUUACUGGGCGUAAAGCGCACGUAGGCGGCCACGCACGUCCGUUGUGAAAUCGCCCGGCUCAACUGGGCGGGGUCAGCGGAUACGGUGUGGCUCGAGCAAGCUAGGGGGCAAUGGAAUUCCCGGUGUAGUGGUGGAAUGCGUAGAUAUCGGGAGGAACACCAGUGGCGAAGGCGGUUGCCUGGAGCUUUGCUGACGCUGAGGCGCGAAAGCGUGGGGAGCGAUCCGG